rnacentral:lncRNA from 1 species
ACCCCCUUUCAAGACCCCAAAGGACCCCUUUAAGACCCCCCACAGGUCCCCCUUAAGGCCCCCCAAGCACCCCCUGCAGAACCCCUCCCAAAGACCCCUCAACCCCCCUAUCCCCCAUUAACCUCUCAUUUAUCCCCACAAAGACCCCCAAGUCCCCCUUCUAAGGAUCCCCCAAGACCCCCUCAGACCCCUCCAAAGACCCCUCCCCCCCAUAUCCCCCCAUUAACCCCCAUUUUAUCCCCCCAAAGACCCCCAAGACCCCCUUAAGACCCCCAAAGACCCCCCAAGACCCCUUAAGACCCCCAAGACCCCCUUCAGGACCCCCCUCUUGAAGUCCCCACCUGAAGACCCCCAAAGACCCCUUAGACCCCUCCACAGACCCCUCCCCCCCAUAUCCCCCGCCAUAACCCCAUUUGAUCCCCCCAAGACCCCCAAACCCCUUAAGACACCCAAGACCCCCUCAGAACCCACUCCAAAGACCCUUCUCCCCCCACAUAGUCCCCCCCAUAUAUCCCCCAAUAUCCCCCUCAAGACCCCCAAGCCCCCUUAGACCCCCCCAAAGACCCCUUAAGACCCCCCAAAGACCCCCAAAGCCCCCUUAAGACCCCUCCAAAGACCCCUCCCCCCCCAUAUCCCCCCAAUAUCCCCAUCAAGACCCCCCUCCAGACCCCCUUAGACCCCUCCCCCCCCAUAUACCCCAAUAUCCCCCCCAAAAACCCCCUCAGACCCCCUUAAGACCCCAAAGACCCCCUCAGACCUCCCCAAGACCCCCAGGACCCCCCCCACAAAAGACCCCUCCCCCCCCAUCAUACCCCCCAAUAUUCCCCGAUCAAGACCCCCAAAAGAGACCCCUUCAAGAGACCCCUCCCCCCCCAUAUCCCCCAUUUGUAACCAUUUGUAUUCCCCAAAGAGCCCCCCAAAGACCCCCUCCCCCCAUAUCCCCCUUAACCCCCAUUUUAUCCCCCCAAAGACCCCCUCAGACCCCCUUAAGACCCCCAAAGACCCCUUAAGACCCCCCAAAGACCCCUCAAAACCCCCUUCAAGACCCCCCCAAGAACCCCUCCCCCCCCAUAGUGCCCGGCGCUAUUUAACCCCCAUUUUACCCCCCCAGGCCAUGCGCCUCCAGCUCCUCACAGCGCAGCUUGUGCCGUAGGGGGGGGCGGCCUGUUCCCUGUUUGGCUGGGUGGGGAUGCGGCCACGCGCUGAGACCCCGCAAAGCCCCCCCAAAGACCGCCC